rnacentral:rRNA from 1 species
AGAGUUUGAUCAUGGCUCAGAUUGAACGCUGGCGGCAGGCCUAACACAUGCAAGUCGAACGGUAACAGGAAGAAGCUUGCUUCUUUGCUGACGAGUGGCGGACGGGUGAGUAAUGUCUGGGAAACUGCCUGAUGGGGGGGAUAACUACUGAAACGGUAGCUAAUACCGCAUAACGUCGCAAGACCAAAGAGGGGUACCUUCGGGCCUCUUGCCAUCGGAUGUGCCCAGAUGGGAUUAGCUAGUUGGUGGGGUAACGGCUCACCUAGGCGACGAUCCCUAGCUGGUCUGAGAGGAUGACCAGCCACACUGGAACUGAGACACGGUCCAGACUCCUACGGGAGGCAGCAGUGGGGAAUAUUGCACAAUGGGCGCAAGCCUGAUGCAGCCAUGCCGCGUGUAUGAAGAAGGCCUUCGGGUUGUAAAGUACUUUCAGCGGGGAGGAAGGGAGUAAAGUUAAUACCUUUGCUCAUUGACGUUACCCGCAGAAGAAGCACCGGCUAACUCCGUGCCAGCAGCCGCCGUAAUACGGAAGGUGCAAGCGUUAAUCGGAAUUACUGGGCGUAAAGCGCACGCAGGCGGUUUGUUAAGUCAGAUGUGAAAUCCCCGGGCUCAACCUGUGAACUGCAUCUGAUACUGGCAAGCUUGAGUCUCGUAGAGGGGGGUAGAAUUCCAGGUGUAGCGGUGAAAUGCGUAGAGAUCUGGAGGAAUACCGGUGGCGAAGGCGGCCCCCUGGACGAAGACUGACGCUCAGGUGCGAAAGCGUGGGGAGCAAACAGGAUUAGAUACCCUGGUAGUCCACGCCGUAAACGAUGUCGACUUGGAGGUUGUGCCCUUGAGGCGUGGCUUCCGGAGUUAACGCGUUAAGUCGACCGCCUGGGGAGUACGGCCGCAAGGUUAAAACUCAAAUGAAUUGACGGGGGCCCGCACAAGCGGUGGAGCAUGUGGCUUAAUUCGAUGCAACGCGAAGAACCUUACCUGGUCUUGACAUCCACGGAAGUUUUCAGAGAUGAGAAUGUGCCUUCGGGAACCGUGA